AUAGGAUUUUUUUGGCUCGACUAGAGAGUGAUGUGUCAGAUUAAGAUAACUAAUACGUAUAUGUAAGGAUGUAUUUACAAAUUAAACUUCCAAAAAGUCAAACGGAGUGAAAUAAAAAUUAAGAAGGCAAGUGAUAGAAAAAUAGAAAGAAAAUUUUUGCCCCCCCUAAAUAAGUGAGUAUAACCGUUGAAAAUGGUUGUUGUAGCGAAAUUUAGUUGGAAGAAAGAAACUUUGAAACAUGUUACGUAUUAUACAUAUUACUAAAUGACUCUUGAGGGUAAGAAUGAAUGACGGGUUACGACUUAGACAAUAACUUAAGAGUGGAUGGGAAGGGUAGGUUUUGACAAGGAUACUGAAAUAAUGUAAUGCAGUCUUUACAAGUAUGCAUGAAUGGAAAAAAAGGAUGAACGUGUACUUCGAUACGUUUGCGAUAAGUAAGAAGUGCCAGUUUGACCUGCAAAGGUUGAUGAAAUAACCAAUAAAAUGAAAAGACUGUAUGCAAGAAAUGGAAUGCGAUAUGUUUAAAACAUAUACGAAUGAUGAAAUUAUUAGUAUAAUGAUAGUAAUAAAGCUGUUGGAAGGAUGCUCACGAGUGAGAGCAUAUUUCACGAAUGAAUGAGACCAAAUUCUGGUACGGAAGGUACCUGUAAAGAAGCGGAACGAUCCGGCUCCCGGAUCACUGAUCUACGCAAUGAAGGCGAGGUACAUGCCAUUCUGGGCGCGAACUUGGUAGGCAACGGGACGGACAUAUGGAAUACGUAUCAACUACUUACGGGUCAAGGUAUAAUGGGAACUAGAGGUUCGCGGACUGAUGAAUGGAACAAGGUUUGGUGACAAAUCUGAGAUCGAGUAAGCAAUGUCAGUUCAUCCAUCCGUCAGGUUAUAUCGCCGACUUAGACGGGUCGUCAUGUUUUACUUGCCUUUUACGGCAUUCGGUAGUUUUAAAUCGUGUAAGCUUCAUGAGUCAGACGUAGUGUCUUGUUUUGUUUAUGUUCAAGUUUAGAGUUGUAAAAUGGAUUGUAAACAGGUUUUGUUACCGUAACGGUUAUCCGUAAUACGAACGGGUCAUGCCGAAAUUUUAUAAAAAUUGGAAUGGAAUAUGUAAGUUU